rnacentral:misc_RNA from 1 species
UCCCCGUUACCGGGGCAGUCUAGCCAGAAAAAUUCAACUGGCUACAAGGGUUGCGCUCGUUGAUGGACUUAACCAAACAUCUCACGACACGAGCUGACGACGGCCAUGCAACACCUGUCACUACGGCUCGAAAGCACUUUCUCCUUUCGGAGAAAUAAGUAGGAUGUCAAACCCUGGUAAGGUUCUUCGCUUAUCCUCGAAUUAAACAACACGCUCCACCGCUUGUGCGGGUCCCCGUCAAUUCCUUUAUGUUUUAGCCUUGCGGCCGUACUCCACAGGCGGGAUGCUUAACGCGUUAGCUUCGCUACUACCAGGGUCGAUACUGAUAACAGCUAGCAUCCAUCGUUUACGGCGUGGACUAC